AGCAGCAGUAGGGAAUCUUCCGCAAUGGACGAAAGUCUGACGGAGCAACGCCGCGUGAGUGAUGAAGGUUUUCGGAUCGUAAAGCUCUGUUGUUAGGGAAGAACAAGUGCCGUUCAAAUAGGGCGGCACCUUGACGGUACCUAACCAGAAAGCCACGGCUAACUACGUGCCAGCAGCCGCGGUAAUACGUAGGUGGCAAGCGUUGUCCGGAAUUAUUGGGCGUAAAGGGCUCGCAGGCGGUUUCUUAAGUCUGAUGUGAAAGCCCCCGGCUCAACCGGGGAGGGUCAUUGGAAACUGGGGAACUUGAGUGCAGAAGAGGAGAGUGGAAUUCCACGUGUAGCGGUGAAAUGCGUAGAGAUGUGGAGGAACACCAGUGGCGAAGGCGACUCUCUGGUCUGUAACUGACGCUGAGGAGCGAAAGCGUGGGGAGCGAACAGGAUUAGAUACCCUGGUAGUCCACGCCGUAAACGAUGAGUGCUAAGUGUUAGGGGGUUUCCGCCCCUUAGUGCUGCAGCUAACGCAUUAAGCACUCCGCCUGGGGAGUACGGUCGCAAGACUGAAACUCAAAGGAAUUGACGGGGGCCCGCACAAGCGGUGGAGCAUGUGGUUUAAUUCGAAGCAACGCGAAGAACCUUACCAGGUCUUGACAUCCUCUGACAAUCCUAGAGAUAGGACGUCCCCUUCGGGGGCAGAGUGACAGGUGGUGCAUGGUUGUCGUCAGCUCGGUCC
rnacentral:rRNA from 2 species